UGUUCUGUGGCUUAGUUGGUUAAAGCGCCGGUAUAGUGAAUACGGAGUUGUGGUUUCGAAUCCCACCAGAACAU
rfam:Aedes albopictus isolate Foshan contig28559, whole genome shotgun sequence.